AUAAAUAUUUCAAUUCUGUUUUGACCUGCCACAUCAAUAGCUAACGUGUUUCAAGGUCAGUGAAACUCUCGGCAUUCUUGUAAAUUUUACGCCGUGCAUAACUCAACCCCAAGUCAUCAAAACCACCACCACCACCACGCAAUGGGCAUUGAAAUUUGACCCAGCAGGGCACUGACAGCAAGGUAAUCAAAGAAGAAGGGGACUAUAAAAAGAAACACUAACCACCAACCUACGAUCUUCAAUACGUCGAAGAUAUUGAAGAAUCCACUCCCCC
rnacentral:lncRNA from 1 species